rnacentral:tRNA from 1 species
GGGAAUGAUUGUGAGGCUGGUGCCCGCCGCGGUCUUCAAAAUCGUUGGGGUCUGUACUCCAGACCCGCUGGGUUCGAUUCCCAGGCGUUCCCG